rnacentral:rRNA from 1 species
UACGUAGGGGGCAAGCGUUAUCCGGAUUUACUGGGUGUAAAGGGAGCGUAGACGGCUUUGCAAGCCAGAUGUGAAAGCCCGGGGCUCAACCCCGGGACUGCAUUUGGAACUGUGUGGCUAGAGUGUCGGAGAGGCAGGCGGAAUUCCUAGUGUAGCGGUGAAAUGCGUAGAUACUAGGAGGAACACCAGUGGCGAAGGCGGCCUGCUGGACGAUGACUGACGUUGAGGCUCGAAAGCGUGGGGAGCAAACAGG